rnacentral:lncRNA from 1 species
CUGGGUCAGUGUACUUGAAAGUUAUUAAUUAUUUCACUUCAAUCUAUAAUAGUUAAUUAAAGCUUAAAACAAAAAUAAAUUGCUUGUGUUUGGUGAAAACGUUGCUGGUCAGAUGGGAUUUUAGCAAUAUAAUGCAGCCAAUAGGUUUGUUUUGUUUAUAGCAAUAUUGGAUGACCUUGAAAUGUUCAUCUGGCCAAUGUGGACUCUUUAAGAUAAGAACCCAAUUUCUUUUCUUCUCUUUACCUGGGUUAGGAUUAACAGUUCACACUAUCAAAAGGAUAUUAGCACAUGACAAGCCUACAGAUAUUUCUUAAUGUUAUUUCACUUGCCGUCCCUCAGAGCCAGCAUGAAGGCACUGUCAGCAGAACUCAGACGUGUGUGACUGCAACUCUACAGAGAAGAAGAUUCACGGGUACUCAGCGCACCAUGAUGCCACAGCUUACAUCCAGCUGGGUCGUUGUUGUUGCUGUUGUUUUUAAGGUUAAUCAGGUCUUUAAUAAAAGACCAUGGAAAUGUCAGCAGUCUGAACAAACAAACCUGAAUUGUAACUGAACAUUCGUUCAAACAAAGAAAUAUAAACCCUGUUUUUAUUAAUGUUCUUCACACAGGUAGGAAACGGAUUGGAAUUAUAAUUAGAAAUAUAUAUUUUCACAAUAUUAUCUAUAAGCUCCAGUACAUGCUUGAAUAUGAAUUAUAUGUAUUAAUCUUGCCAACGUGACCAUGCUUUAAGGCUUGUAGUCCAGAAACUUUUUAAUGAAAACAGCUACUUGGUAAAUUAAUGAAAUAAAUGGAAGAAUUAGUUAAUUAAGC